UUGCGCCCCCAAGCCCCUCCUCUUGCUCAAUUCCGCGCCAAAGGUACCCACAUGCGGGCCUGUGCUGCGACCUAGACUUCGCGCAGGCGCUGGGUGGGACUGGCAGGAUUAAAAACCAUGGCGUGGGUACCUGCGGAGUCAGCUGUGGAAGAAUUGAUGCCCCGGCUGUUGCCAGUGGAGCCCUGCGAUUUGACCGAAGGUUUCGAUCCCAGCGUACCUCCGAGGACUCCUCAGGAAUACCUGAGGCGGGUCCAGAUCGAAGCAGCUCAAUGUCCAGAUGUUGUGGUAGCUCAAAUUGACCCAAAGAAGUUGAAAAGGAAGCAAAGUGUGAAUGUUUCUCUGUCAGGAUGCCAGCCUGCCCCUGAAGGAUAUUCCCCUACACUUCAGUGGCAACAGCAACAAGUGGCACAGUUUUCAGCUGUUCGGCAGAGCGUGAACAGACAUAGGAGUCACUGGAAAUCACAACAGUUGGAUAGUAACGUGACCAUGCCAAAAUCUGAAGAUGAAGAAGGCUGGAAAAAAUUUUGUCUGGGUGAAAGGUUAUGUGCUGAAGGGGCUGCUGGACCAGCUGCAAGUGAAAGUCCUGGAAUCGAUUACGUGCAAAUUGGUUUUCCUCCCUUGCUUAGUAUUGUUAGCAGAAUGAAUCAGGCAACAGUAACUAGUGUCUUGGAAUAUCUGAGUAAUUGGUUUGGAGAAAGAGACUUUACUCCAGAAUUGGGAAGAUGGCUUUAUGCUUUAUUGGCUUGCCUUGAAAAACCUUUAUUACCGGAGGCUCAUUCACUGAUUCGGCAGCUUGCAAGAAGGUGCUCUGAAGUGAGGCUUUUAGUGGACAGCAAAGAUGAUGAGAGGGUUCCUGCUUUGAAUUUAUUAAUCUGCUUGGUUAGCAGGAAGAUCAUACCACUCUGUGUUCCCACUAAAGUGUCAAUGAGGUGCCUUUCUCCUGUUCAACACUGGGCAUUUUCAGUUGAUUUAAAAACUUCCAUUCUAAUAAUAAAAAAGAUACAAAUAAUUUUUAUUUGCUUUUGUUUUAUCUGUAAGGGUAAAAUAUGUUUCAUUUUAUUGCAGUUUUUAAAAAAUUGCUUGUGUCUUAUGUUCAUUUUCAAUUGGGGCAUAUUUUUAUGUAGUAUGCAUUUGAUUUCAUUUCUUACAUUAAAAUUUAUUUGAAGAUGUUUUCAUAUUCUAAAUUCUUAUGUUUGUGUGUAUAUAAAUAUAAUAUAUGCAUACUUAUUUUAGGUCUCUUUCUGGGCUUCAUAUUUUUGUUCAUUGGUCAGUGUUUUUAUUCCAAUGCUAGUAACUUUUCAAAGCUUUAUAAUAUAUUUAAACAUUGAGAAGAUAAGUGAUCCCAUGCUCAUUUUUUCACUCGCAUAAACAAGAUACUUUUUCAGAGUACACACAUAUUCAGCAUGUAGUUUCUUGAUCUGUAAUAAUUAUGCUGAUGAUAGUUACUGCUGUUUCAGUAAGCUAGUACUUAAUAGAAUCAAGAUUUAAACAUAUCAUCUGACUUUAUGAGAGAAGAAAUGUCCAAGUGUAGUAGGUCAUGAUUAUUUCUUUUCCUCAAAAAGUUAGGUAAAAAUAGGAAAAAAGUUCUAGGACAGAAGUUUCUGAAGGUAUAGGCUUCACUUAGGAAAACUUACAGCAAGUUUGAAAAAAAAGAUAACCUAGGCCUUGACUCUUUGCAGUAGCAGCUUCAAUGUAAGUAUCAGGUAUUGUUAUAAAUCUUGUGUUUUUUGUUGUUGGUUUUGUUUGUUUUGAUAGCUUUAAGGCAGUAAUUGCUAAUUCAUAGAAAUACCUGGUCAGAUGAGUGGGAUCUUGUUCAAACAGGAUCCCUUAAAUAUCAGCCACCUUGCUUAUUUUACCAUUGAUAAUUAUUUUUUUUAAGUUUCUUAUUGUGGAGAUUUUCAAACACAUACAAAUAUAGUAGAAUAAACCCCCCAGACUAAUCCAUCACCCAGGUUCAACAAUUGCUAACUCUUCACCAGGGUAUCUGGUUUAUCCCAUCUGUUUUGUAUUUCAAACAAAUCUUCAACAUGUCAUUUCUCCUGUUUUAGUGUAUCUAACUGAUAAGGACUUUUUAAAAACAUGACUGUAAUAUCACACCUAAUAAAUUUAAUAACAACUCUGUGGUAUUGUCUAAUGUCCGGUCCGUGUUUCACAUUCCCUAAUUGUCCCCAAGAUGUCUUUGUGUGUUUGAAUUGUUCAAAUCGGGAUCCAAGUAGGAGGCACUCAUUGCAUUUGUCUGAUGUCUCUUAAGUCUCCCCAUUAGCCCCUUGAGUUUUUUUCUUAGCCAUUUAUUUAUUGAAGAAACUGGGUCCUUUGACUUGUAAAAUUUCCCACAAAUUUGUUUUGACAGCUGUCUUCAUAGUGGUAGUCAGUGUGUUCAUCUAGCCUCUGUAUUUUCUGGAAACUGGGAAGUAGGUCUCGAGGCUUGAAUAUACAUAAUGAUUUUGCUUGUUUGACAAGACUCCGUGUGAGCUGCUGUGCCACAUCAGGAAGCACAUGAUGUCCCACUUUUACUAGUGAGAAAGUUGACCACAUUCAGGUAUUUUGACCAGCGUGACUUAGCUGAUGAGCCAUCUUGAUGUAGCUGAUCUCUCAGGGAUAGGAGGUACUUGUGAUGAAGACAGCCUGAGUCUUAGGAAGUGCGAUGCCAGUUCAAGUGCAGAUUGCAUCACAUCUUCAGCACAAUGUGAAGAGUCUUCAUCUUAACCUGUGCGACUCAACAAGACGUCUGGAGGAGCUGGCUACUGGCACUGGUUCAGUGACUCCACGAUACCAAGGUCUCUGAGUCUUAGCUUUUCCCUCGUGGUAAGAUGCCCCUACAGUGCAGAGCAAUGUGUCUCUAUUCAAGACAGGAAAAGGGAGGAAAAAGGCAGAGCCUUCCACAUCUGAUCCUUUUCUCAUAAAAGCAAAACCUUCUCUAGAAAUCCACAGCAGAUUUGUCUUCAUCUGUUGAUCAUAAGUGUAUAAAAUCAUCACCUCUAACUUCAGGAAAACUGGGGAAAUGAAACUGUAAGCUUUUCCAGUCUUUCUAAUGGGAAGUGGAAAAGGAAAAGGGGAUUAGGAAUAACUGUGGAUCAGGCAACCAAUAGUUUUGCUACUUUUUAUAAAUGGAGCAGAUAUAA